UAUAACAUGUUACUGUACUGAAUGCUAUAGGUGGUUGUAACACAAUGUUGAUGGAGAACCUUGUGACCUGUCUUUGAAUAUAACCUGGUAUCUGAAAAGCGCUGAUUGUUACAAUGAAAUCUAUAACUUCAAGGCAGAAGAAGUAGAGUUGUAUUUGGAAAAACUUAAGGAAAAAAGAGGCUUGUCUGGGAAAUAUCAAACAUCAUCAAAAUUGUUCCAGAACUGCAGUGAACUCUUUAAAACACAGACCUUUUCUGGAGAUUUUAUGCAUCGACUGCCUCUUUUAGGAGAAAAACAGGAGGCUAAGGAGAAUGGAACAAACCUUACCUUUAUUGGAGACAAAACCGCAAUGCAUGAACCAUUGCAAACUUGGCAAGAUGCACCAUACAUUUUUAUUGUACAUAUUGGCAUUUCAUCCUCAAAGGAAUCAUCAAAAGAAAAUUCACUGAGUAAUCUUUUUACCAUGACUGUUGAAGUGAAGGGUCCCUAUGAAUACCUCACACUUGAAGACUAUCCCUUGAUGAUUGU
rnacentral:lncRNA from 1 species